rnacentral:rRNA from 1 species
CCUACGGGUGGCAGCAGUGGGGAAUAUUGCACAAUGGGGGAAACCCUGAUGCAGCGACGCCGCGUGAGUGAAGAAGGAUUUCGGUAUGUAAAGCUCUAUCAGCAGGGAAGAAAAUGACGGUACCUGAUUAGGAAGCCCCGGCUAACUACGUGCCAGCAGCCGCGGUAAUACGCAGGGGGCAAGCGUUAUCCGGAUUUACUGGGUGUAAAGGGAGCGUAGACGGCAGCACAAGUCUGGAGUGAAAUGCCGGGGCUUAACCCCGGAACUGCUUUGGAAACUGUGCAGCUAGAGUGCAGGAGAGGUAAGUGGAAUGCCUGGUGUAGCGGUGAAAUGCGUAGAUAUUAGGAGGAACACCAGUGGCGAAGGCGGCUUACUGGACUGUAACUGACGUUGAGGCGCGAAAGCGUGGGUAGCAAACAGGAUUAGAUACCCGAGUAGUC